rnacentral:misc_RNA from 1 species
GAUGAAGAACGUAGCGAAACGCGAUAAGUAAUGUGAAUUGCAGAAUCCAGUGAAUCAUCGAAUCUUUGAACGCACAUUGCGCCCGCCAGCAUUCCGGCGGGCAUGCCUGUUCGAGCGUCAUUUCAACCCUCGACCUCCCCUUGGGGAGGUCGGCGUUGGGGACCGGCAGCACACCGCCGGCCCUGAAAUGGAGUGGCGGCCCGUCCGCGGCGACCUCUGCGCAGUAAUACAGCUCGCACCGGGACCCCGACGCGGCCACGCCGUAAAACACCCAACUUCUGAACGUUGACCUCGAAUCAGGUAGGACUACCCGCUGAACUUAAGCAUAUCAAUAAGCGGAGGA